AACGAACGCUGGCGGCAUGCCUAACACAUGCAAGUCGAACGAUACCUUCGGGUCUAGUGGCGCACGGGUGCGUAACGCGUGGGAACCUGCCCUUAGGUUCGGAAUAACUCCCCGAAAGGGGUGCUAAUACCGGAUAAUGUCUUCGGACCAAAGAUUUAUCGCCUUUGGAUGGGCCCGCGUUGGAUUAGCUAGUUGGUAGGGUAAAAGCCUACCAAGGCGACGAUCCAUAGCUGGUCUGAGAGGAUGAUCAGCCACACUGGGACUGGGACACGGCCCAGACUCCUACGGGAGGCAGCAGUGGGGAAUAUUGGACAAUGGGCGAAAGCAUGAUCCAGCAAUGCCGCGUGAGUGAUGAAGGCCUUAGGGUUGUAAAGCUCUUUUACCCGGGAUGAUAAUGACAGUACCGGGAGAAUAAGCUCCGGCUAACUCCGUG
rnacentral:rRNA from 1 species